rnacentral:rRNA from 1 species
UUUAAUUCGAAGCAACGCGAAGAACCUUACCUAAGCUUGACAUCCCAAUGACAUCUCCUUAAUCGGAGAGUUCCCUUCGUGGACAUUGGUGACAGGUGGUGCAUGGUUGUCGUCAGCUCGUGUCGUGAGAUGUUAGGUUAAGUCCCGCAACGAGCGCAACCCUUGUCUUUAGUUGCCAUCAUUAAGUUGAGCACUCUAGAGUGACUGCCAGGGAUAACCUGGAGGACGGUGGGGAUGACGUCAAAUCAUCAUGCCACUUAUGCUUAGGGCUACACCCGUGCUCCAAUGGGUAGUACAGAGGGUUGCCAAGCCGUAAGGUAGAGCUAAACCCUUAAAGCUACUCUCAGUUC